rnacentral:rRNA from 1 species
ACUUGAAUACUAAUAGUUAUAGGCUUUAAAUUCAAAGAAUUUGGCGGUAUUUUAGUCUUGUUAGAGGAACCUGUUCUGUAAAUGAUACUACACGAAGAAUCUUACUUACUUUUGUUUUUCAGCUUGUAUACCGUCAUUAUUAGAUAACCUUUAUUGGGGGAGUUAUUAAGGUACAAUAAAUUAAAUAUAUUAGAUCAAGGUGCAGCUAAUAGGUGAGAAGAAAUGGGUUACAAUAAAAUUUAUUUAAACGUAUUGAUAGUUGAAUAUAUUAUCAUGAAGGAGGAUUUAAUUGUAAUGGAAAUUUAAUAAGUUAAUAUGAUAUGAGAACUAAAAUAUGUACAUAUCGCCCGUCGC